ACUUAUUUUUACCCUGCCUGAAGAGAUCAUUUUUGUUUUUGAUAUUAUUGGUUGAGAUAUCUCUCUCCCUUAUGCUUCUUAUUGUGAGAACAUUGAGCACUUUUACAAUUAUUUGGGGUUUUUAUGAUGUUUUAGUCGGUUUAUAUAUAGUUCCCCUUUCUCUAAUGUGUUGUUCAUUGUUACAUCUGUUCUGUAAUCUGUGUGUUAUCUUGCUGGCUGCAAACAAACCUACUUAAGGGUACAAAUAAACGCACCUGAACCUGAACUGUAAUCACAUUAUAUUAAUAAUUAAAUCAUUCUUUUUUAUUUUCAUUCUUGUCUAGAACGAACAGCAAGUUUUGAAUUGAUCGGGCUGGUCAUAGCGAUACUCUGCUUGGUGAUUUCUCUGAUUGGAAAUGUUUCUCUCAUUUGCUUCCAAACUCCGAGAGAAGAAAGUGAACAAUCUAAAGCUGCUGUCGUCCUGCAAUUAAACAGCGAGAGGGUGAAAAAUCAACAGAUUGAUGAGGAGACUAAAGUUUACUCUGCUGUGGUCUUCACCAUGAGGAAAGCUGACCGUAUACGCUGAACGGAUGCAAAAGUAGCGCAGAGGAAAAGGAUGUGUGCUGCUGUGAAGGAUUUUGGUUUGAAUUAGUGAGUGAAAAGGUCUGUUUGGCUAC